AUGAGACGAAUGAAGAUGAAAGAGGAGAAUGAAUCGGGAUUUCUCUAUGCGUUUUCGGUUCACAUUUCAAACCGUAGAUUUCUUGCUUACAGAAACAACAACAACACAGCAACAACAACGAAUAUUUUUGUCACAAUUGUGGAAUUCAACAAUAACAACUCUAAAGAACAAAAAUCAACACAAAGCAAGAUUCAAAUACAGGGAAAGCGAAUUUACCGAGUCGGAGCUCCUUCGACGGGCCUUCAAAUUCUCAGGUGA